UACAGAGGGGGCAAGCGUUGUUCGGAAUUACUGGGCGUAAAGGGCGCGUAGGCGGCCUGCUAAGUCGAACGUGAAAUCCCUGGGCUCAACCCAGGAAUUGCGUCCGAUACUGGUUGGCUUGAAUCCGGGAGAGGGACGUGGAAUUCCAGGUGUAGCGGUGAAAUGCGUAGAUAUCUGGAGGAACACCGGUGGCGAAGGCGACGUCCUGGACCGGCAUUGACGCUGAGGCGCGAAAGCCAGGGGAGCAAACAGG
rnacentral:rRNA from 1 species